UACGUAGGGGGCAAGCGUUGUCCGGAUUCAUUGGGCGUAAAGAGCGUGUAGGCGGCCAGGUAGGUCGGUUGUGAAAACUGGAGGCUCAACCUUCAGAGGUCGACCGAAACCAUCUGGCUAGAGUCCGGGAGAGGAGAGUGGAAUUCCUGGUGUAGCGGUGAAAUGCGCAGAUAUCAGGAAGAACACCCGGUGGCGAAAGGCGGC
rnacentral:rRNA from 1 species